rnacentral:rRNA from 1 species
CCUACGGGUGGCAGCAGUGGGGGAUAUUGCACAAUGGGCGAAACCCUGAUGCAGCGACGCCGCGUGAGUGAAGAAGCGCCUCGGCGCGUAAAGCCCUGUCAGCAGGGAAGAAAAUGACGGUACCUGAAGAAGAAGCCCCGGCUAACUACGUGCCAGCAGCCGCGGUAAUACGUAGGGGGCAAGCGUUAUCCGGAUUUACUGGGUGGAAAGGGGGCGCAGACGGCGGUGCAAGCCAGGAGUGAAAGCCCGGGGCCCAACCCCGGGACUGCUCUUGUAACUGCUUGGCUCGAGUGCAGGAGGGGCAGGCGGAAUUCCGGGUGUAGCGGUGAAAUGCGUAGAUAUCAGGAGGAACACCGGUGGCGAAGGCGGCCUGCUGGACUGCAACUGACGUUGAGGCCCGAAAGCGUGGGGAGCAAACAGGAUUAGAUACCCCUGUAGUC